UUGCAGGGUGUCAGGACAGUAAACAGAUGGUGCUGAUACCAGUGAGACUUGAGGCCGUCUAACGGAAGUUAGCCUGUCCCAGUGCACGGGCCUCUCGACGCCCCGCCGAGGGUUCACCACCCGCCCUCUGGCUCCGGGGAGGACCCCAGUCGGUUCAGAUUUUCCCUGACACAUCCCUGGGGAGUAAUCUGUCCAGGCUGUGACAGCAGGCUCCCCAUCCUUUACUGCUUUUCUAAAUGAGGCCUUCCUAGGCUGGGCCCCAGCUUGCUCAUCCCGCCGGGGAUCUUUUUCAGAACAAGAACCUGGACUGGUUCCCCCGGAUGAGGGCCAUGUCCCUAGUGAGCAAUGAGGGGGAAGGGGAGCAGAAUGAGAUCCGGAUUCUUCAAGACAAGCUCAACUCCACCAUGAAGCUGGUGUCCCACCUCACUGCCCAGCUCAACGAGCUCAAGGAGCAGAUGACAGAGCAGCGGAAACGCAGGCAACGCCUGGGCUUUGUGGAUGUCCAGAACUGCAUGAGCCGCUGAGGAGAGCCACUGGAGGCCCCGACAGGGGACGGUCAUCACGGACAGCUGUGACUGGAAGGCUGCCCCUUCCCGUGGGUCAGGUGGCCCAGCCAGCCCGCCAGCCUCUCUAGGCCAGGGGCCCACUCGGCCUCCAGCCCCCACUCUGCCGGACACCCCCGAGCCGUCCCAGGCUCUGGCCAGCAUGGCGUGGGGAGCCACGGAGCUGACAGUCCUGCCUAGAGCCAUUAUCGAGGACUCGGCAAGUCACUGGGACUCAGCUUACCUUAAUGCCUUAGAGGAAGAAACGUCAUCUUGGAGGACGGUUGCUUUGUCCCUUAAAGCAGUAACUGACAUUCCUCUGUGUUCCUCCCUGCGGGUCAUUAGGAGUGGGGUCAUUAGGAGUGGGGUCGCCUCUCUAUUCUAAGCACUACAAUUUGGCCUCCGCCCACGCCUGGGGAAGGUGCAGUAACGCUGUUGUUACUAGUGAUUUUAGUGUUCUGUUAUUUAACUUAUUCAAGGGUGCCGUGCCCGGCCCUGGCCAUGGCUGCAUGGCACCCCGCUGCCGCCGGGCCUCGGAUCUGCUGUGGACAGCAUGGAGACCUCAUUGUCCAGGCCAUCCCUCUGGCUCGGCCCCAGGGAGACUGUGACCCGAGGACGAAGAGCCUUGCUCCUGGGACCUGCCCCUUCCUAGCAGGUCUGCUGACAACAGUCGCUGGCCCAGAUGACAGGGCCCGGGCGUGUUCGAGUGGCUGGUUUUUGACUGCUUGUUUUAUCUCUUGGUGUAACAUUUUGCAAAUCCUUUGGCCUGAGAACUAAUAUGUUAAUUGCCUUAAAUAAAUUAAUAGAACUCUAGUCUG